rnacentral:tRNA from 1 species
GCAGAUAUAUCUCAGUCAUAAGAGUGCUUGCCUAGCAUGCUUGAGGCCCUGGGUUCAAUCCCCAGUACUGCA